rnacentral:rRNA from 1 species
UACGAAGGGGGCUAGCGUUGCUCGGAAUCACUGGGCGUAAAGGGUGCGUAGGCGGGUCUUUAAGUCAGGGGUGAAAUCCUGGAGCUCAACUCCAGAACUGCCUUUGAUACUGAAGAUCUUGAGUUCGGGAGAGGUGAGUGGAACUGCGAGUGUAGAGGUGAAAUUCGUAGAUAUUCGCCAAGAACACCAGUGGCGAAGGCGGCUCACUGGCCCGAUACUGACGCUGAGGCACGAAAGCGUGGGGAGCAAACAGGG